rnacentral:rRNA from 1 species
UACGUAGGUGGCAAGCGUUGUCCGGAAUUACUGGGUGUAAAGCGCGUGUAGGCGGCAGACCAAGUCGGCGGUGAAAGCGCCCGGCUCAACUGGGCGAGGUCCGUGGAAACUGGUCAGCUGGAGGACGGUAGAGGCGAGUGGAAUUCCCGGUGUAGUGGUGAAAUGCGUAGAGAUCGGGAGGAACACCUGUGGCGAAGGCGAGUCUCUGGACAUUUCCUGACGCUGAGGCACGAAAGCCAGGGGAGCAAACGGG